CGAACUGGUGAGUAACACGUGGGAAACCUGCCCAGAAGCGGGGGAUAACACCUGGAAACAGAUGCUAAUACCGCAUAACAACUUGGACCGCAUGGUCCGAGCUUGAAAGAUGGCUUCGGCUAUCACUUUUGGAUGGUCCCGCGGCGUAUUAGCUAGAUGGUGGGGUAACGGCUCACCAUGGCAAUGAUACGUAGCCGACCUGAAAGGGUAAUCGGCCACAUUGGGACUGAGACACGGCCCAAACUCCUACGGGAGGCAGCAGUAGGGAAUCUUCCACAAUGGACGAAAGUCUGAUGGAGCAACGCCGCGUGAGUGAAGAAGGGUUUCGGCUCGUAAAACUCUGUUGUUAAAGAAGAACAUAUCUGAGAGUAACUGUUCAGGUAUUGACGGUAUUUAACCAGAAAGCCACGGCUAACUAC
rnacentral:rRNA from 2 species